CCAUGGUGCAGGGAUUUCUAUAGCACAGUAGCCUUAAGCUGGAGGUGGGAAAGUGUCCUGAGGAAGCAAGGGCUAACUCCUGAACCAUUUGGACCAUGCAGUGUGGCUGUGCAUCCUCAGUGUUGGACUCUGGAGAGGACAACAGACAGCAAGGCUUUGAAGUCUUUCACAGCCCUUGGCCUUACGUGGGGUCCAAGGGAGGAAGGGGUCAAGCCACAUGGGAUACUCCUGAUCAGUUUAUAAGGAGCCUUGAGGUACAGUUGCUUUUGUUAGCAGGGACUGGACUGUAUCACCUUGGAAAACUCUUGCAUUCAAAUGUUCCCAAAUCACUGCACAUUGCAGCAGCAGGACAGUAGCGUGUCCAUUAUAAAAGCCUGUAGGAAUUUCUGUCCAUUGCAAGCUAAACUUCGGGUCAUACUCCUGGUUCUUCCCACUGCAGGCUGAAUA
ensembl:lncRNA